CGUAAAGGCAUUUCAGAGAUGGGAGCGCUCUCUUCUCUAAAGUCCACUUGAUCUGCGCUGUCCAGUGUCCAGUGUGUCUUCGCUGAGAAUUACGCUCCUCUCCAGCAACUCAACACUACAGAACGGAGCCAAAAACAGACUCUACACUAAGGCUAUGUUGCAUCGGUAGCCCAUGCCUUGGAUAAGAGAAUGAGGAACACGCUCAGCUGUUUAUGUUGCAAAGAAAAGAAAAGAAAAGAGGAAUCACAACAGGUUUCACUCCGAGAGUAAAGAAGUGUUGUGUUGCCAUGUUGAAAUACAGAAUUAAAGACAGUGGUUCAUAAUGUUGUCUUGUAUUGUAUUGCAUUUAUCUCAAUCAUGUUCAUGUACUUCACAAAAGUAAUUUUGUGUUAAUGUGUCAUUUAUUCAGUGUCAUUGUUCAUUUAUUUUCUUUGUAAAUGCAGUUUCGCCCAUUUAAAGUAGAGUGUUCUUGAAAUGUUUUUGAAAAUAAAUAUGAUAAAUGAAAUUUGAAAUGGUGUUUAAAAUAUUAAAGACAUAAUUAAUAAAGAAAA